UGUGCUCAGACAACUCAGGACUGGUCUUUCUUACCAUGGCUCUGCAUACUUGGCCAAGAAUGUACUUGAAACCUACUUUUGAAGCUGCCCUGACACAACUAAGACAACAUGGCUGGGCUGCUAUAAUCCCAACUCAUGGAUGAGGAUUGUCUCCAUGUGAGCUUACUUCUGAAGACUGAACUCUGGGAGGCAGAGAUGCUGCUCAGCUGAUUGGCAAUGGAAAAACACUCAGCAGCCAACUCGGAAGUAUGUUGGGUGAUAAGUGCAUUUGAGCUGCUGCUAAGAGACUACAAGGUGUGUGAGAGAUGGACUCACCCAACGGGGGCACUUGUUCAUCCUUUGCUUUUCAGUGAGGUAGUGCCUCUUCCACACCAACUGGAUGCUUCUGUUCCUUUUAAUGACUCUUAGCGCUUCAAGCAGAUGUGGUCCACCUUUUUCACCCUGAUAGGAAGCUGCCUGGUGUGUCUUGUUGGGCUUACCAAGAAUUCCAGACCCCUACGGAGCAGCGUUGUGUUGAGUCACGUGCCUGAAAACCUCUACCAAUAUCUCUCAGAUCUUGCAUUUUGUCACUUCUUUACCCCCAAUGGCUUGUUGUCUGACAUCACUUAAUGCGCCGAAACAGACUGCAAAAGAAUUGCUUCUAGAUGCAAAUUUGCCCCAGGCCCAUUGAACUUUAUGCCACGGCUUCAAGUUUAAUAAGAAACCAUCUUCAUUAGGACUGAAAAUGACUUCCAGUUUCUCCCAGUCCAACAGCUGCUUAGCUUCACUCUGGCUGCCAGUUGCACACACCUGCGUGUUGCAGCUGUGCGAGCUGCUAAAACACACUACGGACAGCCUAGGGUAGCCAACACCUGGAAAGCAUAAAGUAUUUACAAUUCGGAACAAGAACAAAACUCCCUCAAUAAAAAUACUUGUAG
ensembl:lncRNA